ACUGUCUCAGUGCACGUCCUUUCGUCGUGGCCCGAGGCGUCUCGCUUGGAGCUCCUUUGUAUGUACAUUCAUCAUCACAUGAUUCGACCUGAGCUCAGGCAAGAGCACCCGCUGAACUUAAGCAUAUCAAUAAGCGGAGGA
rnacentral:rRNA from 1 species